CCGCCGGCGACCGGCGCACGGGUGAGUAACACGUAUGCAACCUGGCCGCCACAGGGGGAUAACCCGCGGAAACGCGGCCUAAUACCCCGUGACGCCACCGGAGGGCAUCCUCCGGUGGCCAAAGGAGCGAUCCGGUGGCGGAUGGGCAUGCGUCGCAUUAGUUAGUUGGCGGUGUAACGGACCACCAAGACGACGAUGCGUAGGGGUUCUGAGAGGAAGGUCCCCCACACUGGUACUGAGACACGGACCAGACUCCUACGGGAGGCAGCAG
rnacentral:rRNA from 1 species